rnacentral:tRNA from 2 species
UGUCUUAUGGUGUAAUGGUAGCACAACAGGUUUUGGUUCUGUUUGUCCAGGUUCGAAUCCUGGUAAGACAA